rnacentral:rRNA from 1 species
GGGGAAUAUUGGACAAUGGGCGCAAGCCUGAUCCAGCAAUGCCGCGUGUGUGAAGAAGGCCUUAGGGUUGUAAAGCACUUUCAGUGGGGAGGAAGUUAAGUUUGUUAAUACCAGAUUUAAUUGACGUUACCCACAGAAGAAGCACCGGCUAACUCUGUGCCAGCAGCCGCGGUAAUACAAAGGGUGCAAGCGUUAAUCGGAAUUACUGGGCGUAAAGGGUGUGUAGGUGGUUGCGUAAGUUAGAUGUGAAAUCCCCGGGCUUAACCUGGGAACUGCGUUUAAAACUGCGUAGCUAGAGUAUUGCAGAGGAUAGUGGAAUUUCCAGUGUAGCGGUGAAAUGCGUAGAUAUUGGAAGGAACACCAGUGGCGAAGGCGACUAUCUGGGCAAAUACUGACACUGAGACACGAAAGCAUGGGGAGCAAA